GAUGAAGAACGCAGCGAAAUGCGAUAAGUAAUGUGAAUUGCAGAAUUCAGUGAAUCAUCGAAUCUUUGAACGCACAUUGCGCCCGCCAGUAUUCUGGCGGGCAUGCCUGUUCGAGCGUCAUUUCAACCAUCAAGCCCCCGGCUUGCGUUGGGGACCUGCGGCUGCCGCAGGCCCUGAAAAGCAGUGGCGGGCUUGCUGUCACACCGAGCGUAGUAGCAUACAUCUCGCUCUGGGCGUGCUGCGGGUUCCGGCCGUUAAACCACCUUCAUAACCCAAGGUUGACCUCGGAUCAGGUAGGAAGACCCGCUGAACUUAAGCAUAUCAAUAAGCGGAGGA
rnacentral:misc_RNA from 1 species